rnacentral:lncRNA from 1 species
AUUGGCCUAGGCGAUGGAUGCGAAGUGGGCCAUUAGCCAGGGCCGCACAUUAAGUGCUGAGGAAUGCCAGCACACUAGCUGCUGCUAAUGCUGGCUGCAGUGCCUAAUAAUAGCACAUAGCAUGUUCUGGGUGGUCAGUAAAUCAUUGCCGUUAUAUUGAAAGUAGAUAUAACUCAUUGUUAUUCUAACAAGUAAAGGUGAUACCAACCUUCUGGUUUAAUGGAAAUAGUUUGAAUCUUCAAAAGCACUGUACUUCAGUGGCAGCGUUUAGAGGCCCAGCUUCUUGAACUCGUAUGCUGGUCCUGCCCCCAGAGCUCUUACUUUGGGGGAGUUACUGGUCUCUCUCAAUUUCUUCAGCCUGCCAAAUUGAGAUUAUAACAGUACCUGCUUAGUAGGAUUGUUAUGAGAUUCAGUGAGUUAAUAAUAUUAUGAAUGAGUUAAUACCAGUAAAGUGUUAGAAUGGUAACAUAACUAAGCUCCUGGUAAAUGGUGGCUGCUAUUACUACUACUACCACUACUGUUUUAAAAACACGCUUGUCGGGAGUUACUCUUGUGGCUCAGCAGUAAUGCAUUGAACAAGGCCAGGGAUCAAACCCACAACCUCAUAGUUCCUAGUCGCAUUCAUUAACCACUGCGCCGCGACGGGAACUCCUCUAAUGGUGUUGUUUUAAUUAUUUUUUUUAUCAAGUGGGAGCUGUUCUGUUAUGUACUUGGAUGUAAAACAUAUAUAUACAUAUAUAUUUCAGUGAGUUCUGUAUGUUCAUUUGAAACUUGUCAAGUGCUUAGGUUAUUUUAUAGUUUGUAGUACUUCAAGAGAAAUAUCACAGUGCCUUAUGGAAGCAUCAUGUAACUUAAGAGUAGUUUUAUGAAAUACAUUUUUCAGAGUAAGCAUACUUGACAGUUCCACGUCAGUUUUCCUUUGAACUUCUGCGAACAAAAUAUUUAGCAUAUUGUGUGGUUUAGUCUCCCAAAUGGCCUAUGGGUUAAAUUGCUAAUUAUAGUGUUUAAAUGUAUUGUUUUUUUUCUUUUGUUUAAUAGUCCUGAGUUUACAUCUUUAUAUACACACUUUCCUGAUUAUAUAAUGGGAUCUCUGAUCAUUUGGGCUCUCGGCUUUGCCUCGCUUUAUUACUUAGAAAAAGCUCCCUAAGAAAGUUGAGUUAUAGUUAAGUGAAAAAUUUUUUUCACUUUACCUUGUUUUAGUUAAUACAGUAAAAUAUUCUGUUAUACUGAGCUGUCUCCCACCCUUUAGAAAAUACAUGCCAUGAUUUCUUUGAAAAUUAUACAUUUAUUAUAAAUGUAAAUUUUUUUCUGAUGAACAUGUACUUAUCAGUUUUGAAUGUUUUAGAAUCCAGGUAAAUGAUAAAAUGUCCCCACCCCCUUAUUUUCCACUUAGCAUUUGUUAUUUGAUUGAGAACAUAGUAUAAAGUUGGAUUUUUGGAUAAUAUUUGAAUAUAUUCUGAAAUUAAACUCCAACUAUUUUCUGUCAAGUUUGAAGAUUUGCACUCUCUCAUAAUUAUUUGCUAUGCAUUUGGCAUAAAUUUUUUAACUUCUCCCUGUUUCAUUAUAUCUUUCUCAUCUCAUCAUAUCCCCCCCCAAAAAAAUUAUUUUCUGUAUGUAGGCAGUGCACGGAAGGAUUCAAUAUAAAGCAGAUUACUAAGUUAUUUUCUUUUUUUCUUUCUUUUUAUUUUUUUGCUUUUUAGGGCCACACCCGUGGCAUAAUGAAGUUCCCAGGCUAGGGGUUGAAUCAGAGCUGCAGCCGCUGGCCUACACCACAGCCACAGCAAUGCAGGAUCCGAGCCACAUCUUCGACCUACACCACAUUUCACAGCAACACCAGAUCCUUAACCCACUGAGCAAGGCCAGGGAUCAAACCUUCAUCUUCAUUGAAUGCUCAUCAGAUUCAUUAACUGCUGAGCCACUACAGGAACUCCCUGAGUUAUUUUCAAGUAAGGUGUGGGUAUGAAUGAGAAACAAAGUUUGGGAACUCGGUACUGGCAAAUCCUUCAUUUUCGGGUAACUUUCUAAAUGUGCAGUCAUUCCUUCUGUGAUGUUUAGAGUAAAUGUGAACAAUAUAUAAAAACAUUCUCUUCGCAGUCACAUACCACAGCCUUCCUUUUUAUAGUCGGAAUCAUUAACGCAGUGGUGAUCCUUCCAAGCUCUUAUUUAUUUUUUGUUUUGUUUUGUUUCAUUUUGUUUUGUUGGCCAUGCCUGUAGCACAUAGAAGUUCCCGGGCCAGGGAUCAAACCUGCUCCAUAGCAGUGACCCCAGCCACUGCAGUGGUAAAGCUGGAUCCUUAACCCGCUGCACCACAGGGGAACUCCUUAAAACUAUGUGCCAUCAAAGCUAAGAAAUGCAAUUGAUUAUAUGACACCAGUAGUUUAUGUACUGAGAAAGAAGAAAAAACCUUGGGAAAUGCAGAGAGUACUUUCUCAUCAUUUCAUAUUUUAUUUAUACUUAUCUAAAGAUCUCUUUUUUGAAUUACUCAAUGAAUUUUAUUACAUUUAUAAUUGUACAAUAAUCAUCACAACCAAAUUUGAUAGCAUUUCCAUCCCAAACCCUCAGUGCGUCCCCCCACCCCCUAACCUGUCUCCUUUAGAAACCAUAAGUUUUUCAAAGUCUGUGAGUCAGUAUCUGUUCUGCAAAGAAGUUCAUUGUGUCAUUUUUUUAGAUCACAUGUGAUAGCAUUUGAUGUUGGUGUCUCAUUGUCUGACUGACUUCACUUAGCUUGAUAAUUUCUAGGUCCAUCCAUGUUGCUGCAAAUGCCAUUAUUUCUUUCCUUUUAAUGGCUGAGUAAUAUUCCAUUGUGUAUAUGUACUGUAUCUUUAUCCACUCCUCUGUCGAUGGGUGUUUAGGUUGUUUCCAUGUCUUGGCUAUCAUUUAGAGUGCUUCAGUGAACAGUGGAGUACAUGUGUCUUUUUGAGUCAUGGUUUUCUCCAGAUAGAUGCCCAGGAGUGGGAUUGCUGGAUCAAAUGGUAGUUCUAUGUUUAGUUUUCUGAGGAAUCUCCAUACUGCUUUGCACAGCGGUUGCACCAAUUUACAUUCCCACCAACAGUGUACUAGGGUCCCCUUUUCUCCACACCCUCUCCAGCACUUAUUGUCUGUAGACUUUUUGAUGAUGGCCAUUCUGACUAAAGAUCUCUUUUAAGACAUUUAUUCUGAUCAGUGUUUUAAAGUCAUGAAACAUAUGAAAAGGAAAGUUUCUUCAUCUUUGCACUAACAGUUCUUAGACCUUGGGUAUUCCCCUGAGUUUGUCGUUCGUUGUACUCUCUUUCAUGAGGACUACUUGUGAAUACCACUGUGUACAUGGGACCUCUGUUAUGGUGCCAGUGCUUGUCUAGAUACUCUUGUAACAUUCUCAUCUAACCCUUGCAGCAACCCUUUCGGGUAAGUGUUCAUGCAUUUUACAGUUGAGGAAACUGAAGCUCAGAAAAAUUAAGUUGCUUAAUUUUGAUUACAGAGCAGUUAACGUGAUGGAGGCCCCUGACCUCAGAGCAAGUGCUCUAGGUACCUUAAGUGGUUCUUAUAACCACUAUGGGUCUGAGACAUUUGUGGAGAUUAAAAAAAAUAAAUACAUGGGAGAGAUCUACCCUUAGAUACGCAGUCAAUCUAGAAUGGAACAUCUGUAAUUUUUAAAAGUGUGUGUUUAAAUGUGUGAUUUUUAUUUUCAUACCUUUCAGAACCAGCAUAUCCUAUGCUGCCAGGUAAAUCUUCACUUUGUCCUUUUUAAAAAAAAUUUUUUAAUUGUUUUGGCCGCACCCACAGCAUGUGGAAGUUUCUGGAGCAGGAAUCAAACCUGCAUCAUAGCAGUGACAACACCAGGUCCUUAACCACUAGGCCAUCAGGCAUCUCCUUGCCCUUUCCUCAUUGCUAAGUUUACUGAUAUUCUUUGGCACCUGCCAAUUUUCCUAUUGUUAUAGUUCUAGAAUCAGUAGGGCUUAUAAUUGCGCCUUCACUUUAAGGUGGGAAUUAAAUACGGUGAUACCAAGAAUGUUGCAUAACCAUCGUCUCCAUCUGUAUGUUAAACUGAGAGAUCAUCCCCUGAGCAGCCAUCUACAUUAGAACCCCAGCCAGUCUUAGUAAUUGUCCACCUCGGGAGCUCCCGUCGUGGCUCAGCAGAAAUGAAUCUGACUAGUAUCCAUGAGGACACAGAUUUGAUCCCUGGCUUCGCUCAGAGGGUUAAGGGUCUGGUGUUGCCGUGAGCAGGUUGCAGAUGUGGCUUGAAUCUGGCAUUGCUGUGGCUGUAGUGUAGCCCAGUGGCUACAGCUCCGAUUCAGUCUCUCCCCUGGAAAUUUCCAUAUGCCACGGGUGCAGCCCUAAAAAGAUUUAAAAAAAAAAAAAAAAUUGUCUACAUGGAAACUUUAAAUAUGUUUUAAAAACUGCACAUGUAAUAAGAAUGAUUAUGAACCUAAGGAAAUUUAAACUUUUUAUUUCCACAAAAGUAUUUGAAGUUUUCAUUUCAAACUAAACAGGAUACUGUUUGUU